rnacentral:misc_RNA from 1 species
GUUCUGUUUUACAAAUGCUAGAAUUGCUUACAAAUGAACAGUUUAGUAACUGCCAGUAGAUUUAGGAGGAAGAAAAUAGUAUUGAGAGAACGAUUAAAUUUUAUUGAAUGAAUAAAAUGUAAAAGAAGAAGCUAUACAUUGUUGUCACAGCCUCACAGGUCUCACUAAUCUCUUCUAGAUUAGCUGCCAUUUAACUAACUUGCUAACCGAAGCGAAGA